rnacentral:rRNA from 1 species
UACGGAGGGUGCAAGCGUUAUCCGGAAUCACUGGGUUUAAAGGGUGCGUAGGCGGUAGAAUAAGUCAGUCGUGAAAUCGCUGGGCUUAACCCAUGCAACUGCGAUUGAUACUGUUUUACUUGAAUGAGGUUGAGGUAGGCGGAAUGUGGCAUGUAGCGGUGAAAUGCUUAGAUAUGCCAUAGAACACCGAUUGCGAAGGCAGCUUGCUGGACCUGAAUUGACGCUGAGGCACGAAAGCGUGGGUAGCAAACAGG